CUCUAGAAAAAUAUUAUGGAAUUCAUUUAUAAAACUAUACUUGAUUAAUAGAGAUUUGUACAUUGGAUUAGGAUGGCAAAAAACUCAACCUCAUGUAGAAUUCUGUGGAAUUGAAUCAGUGUAUUUCAAACUGCAUUAAAAUCGAUAAAAUUUCAAAUAUGUUAUUUCAAUUCCACAUGAAUUUUCAUAUGAGGCCCUUUUUUAUCAUUUUAUCAAGAAUUGUUCGGAUCUUCAAGUUAAAUUAAGUUGAUUAUUCAAUUUGCAAAUGAAUUCUGUUAACAUUUGCAAAUAUUCCUUCAACAGAUCUUAAUUCAUUUUCUUAAAUAACUAGUCUGAGUUAUGAAGUAAAAAUGCCUGUUAUUUACUGCACUCUUGCUCUUCAUGCUCUUUUCACAUGUGAUCUAUCACCACAAUUUUAGAAAUCCUUAGAUUUCUUCUCUGUAUAUUGUAUUCAAAAUUUCUGCAUUGUUGUGGAAGCAACCUACAGCUAACUCAAAGAAAUGAAAACAGUAUGUUUUGUGAUGUCUUCAAUUGUCAGCUUCAGCCUACUGAUUAAUUCUGAAAUUUUAGCGUUGUCUCUUACCUCUGAUUAUUGCAAGCCUGUCUACAAGUUCUUAUAAAUACACCAUCAGGAGAAAUCAGAAUGCAAGCUCAAUGAACAAGGUUUCAAGAAACAGUGUUUUCCUUUAAUAGGCAAUGGCAGUUAAGAAAAAAUGGCUUAAAAGACUGACAUCAAGGAGAUGGAUUGGCUUUGAGGGGCAAAAAUAUUUUGACAAUUGUAAGGAUCCUGAGGCUACAUUGAUUUUACUUUUUCUAAUUUUUUUUUUUAAAUCUUACAUCAUUGCUGCAGCUGUAAAAAUU